GCCUGUUGGCCGACUGGCCCUUCUCCACAGAUGUCAUCUUGAGCCUCUUACAGAGUUUCAGCACUGACAUUAAUGACAAGAUGGAUCACCUACAGGACAACCUUGGAUCCUCAACCAGCCUGAUUAAGCAUUGACACUGCAUUUGUCACCACCAGCUCUGAUGGUUUGGACAUGUAGAAAUGUAUUGCAGGAGAAUAUGCAAACAGCUGCUGUAAGGUGAGCUGAUCGGGACAACUGCCAGCAGGCAGAAGGGAAGGCAUAAUUAAUGGGCACCCUUCAGCAGAGCUCAGAGCAGACCAAACGCCAAUGCAGAAGGCUCAAGAAAGAGGCAAACAGACUAGCCACUGCUCCAGGAUGACUGUGGCUCUUUAUGAGUGAAGAGAAAGGGUGGAGACUGAAGACAGAACUGGGGACAGUGACAGGCUUGGGGAAGAACAGCUGAUUCAGCAGUCCCAAGCAUCUGAACACAAGGUGGACAUUCUCCAGGGUGACAUCGCAAAAUACAUGGGUGAAGACAACCUAGUGGCCGUGACUUGGAGCACCCUUCCUCACAAUGAAGGCAUUCUGGGCCAGCCUGAAAAACAGCAUGGAAAUAAAUCACCUAAGUACAAGGGACUGGCUUAAAAAUGGUCUAAUGAAAUGUCAAAAGAGUUCUCCUGUGGAGCUUCGGAGAAGUUUCCUUACCCUUUAAAAAAAGAAAAGAAGAAAAGGAAAAGGUGAUGAUGAUGACACACAGAAGGCAUACACAUUUCCAUUUCUCCCUUUGGAAACUUUCAUGUCUGGGUUGAGAAGUUAACAGAAAGGCAAACAGCCUGAGGUCAAAGAUGACACACUGAGGAUAACAAAAUGGAAAGACAAUCUGAGCUCUUGAUGAUGUGUGACUGAAUGAGCCAAAUUAAACAACUAUAGAGCUGUUCUACUUCCAAUCUAAUUAUGUGAGGGAUAAAUGUUAAUGCGCUUUUUCUUUAGGUUUUCAUUUAGAUUUUGUAGUUUCUACGGUACAAAUCUUAUAUUCUUUUAUUGAAUUUCUUAAACAAAAUGUUCUUUUCAGACUAUAUAAGUGGAAUUGUUUUCUUAAUUUCAUUUUCAGAUUGUUUGUUUCCAGUGUACAGAAAUUCCACUGGCUUUGUAUAGUGAUGUUUUCUACAACAGUAAUGAACUCAUUAAGUAACUCUAAUAGCAUUUUUGAGGACUCCUUAAGACUUUUCACACACAAGAUCAUGUCAUCUGAAAAUACAAAUAGUUCUUCUUUACUCCAAGUAAAAAGACAUUUUUAAUUUCUUUUUCUAGCCUAAUUGUUCUGGCUAAAAAUUCUAGUACAAUCUUGAAAGAAGUGGCAGGAGCAGGCAUCCUAGUCUUGUUCCUGUUAUUAGGGAGAAAACUUUUAAUCUUUCACCACGAUGUAUUAGUGAACUGUGUGGGCUUUUCACAGAUGCCCUUUAUCAGGUUAAGAAAAUUAUCUUUUCUUCCACGUUUUUUGAGUGUUUUUAUCAAGAAAGUGUGUCAGAUUCUGUCAAAUGCUGUGCUACAUCUUGAACCUGGAAAGAGAAGGUUGCAGUGAGCCGACAUUGAACCACUGCACUCUAGCCUGGGUGACGGAGACUCCGUCUCAAAGAAAAAAAAACAAAAAAAAACAGACUAAGGAACUCAAUGGUAAUUAGGUACUUAUGACCUAAUUACUCAGGUAAUUAUGACAACAUUUUCGUGCCUAUGAAUUAUAAUAUCAAUGUCUCUUCUGUUUCUCUCAAGGAAAAAUUUUAGGCCACUAAUAAUUCUAACUUAGAGAUAUUAGCAACAACUUGGUUCCUCAUGAUUAUAACUUAAGUCCUCAGUAAAAGAAUAGUCUCAAAUAACUGAAUACCUACAUGAAAAACCUCUCUGCUAACUACACAGCCCACCUCCAUUAAAUCUACAGACUAAAAUUACCCUAUUUGUGCAUAUAUCUCCUAACAACACUUUGCCUCCCAACUUGACUGUGUGACCAAUACACAAAAAUAUACAUGCUAUUUCAACUGGGAGGAAUGUUGUGGAAAUGAAAGCUUUUAGAAUUAAAAAACAAAAACAAUCCUCUCUUUAAAAGACCAAUACACCAGAAAUACCAAUGUUUAAUUUGGCACCUCAGUUGUAGACAACAGCCCCUUUUCUAACUUUAUGUUGCUUCUCAGCAUUCUGUGCUUUUUCCCCUAUACUCCAUAACCUCUGCUGGAAGUAUAAAAAAUUCCAGGAUUCCGUAUUACUGUAGGUUCAGCUCCUUAGAGCUCAGUCCCAGUCAUUCACUGGCCCAUCCAGGAAACUACUUCCUCUCAUUUCCAAGGCUUCCUUUAAAUAUUCCCCAAGUUUGCCUUAUCUAAAACCUGGCUUUCUUCUGUCUUCAGGGAGCUUACAAUCCAGUAUGGGAAUCAUCGGGAAAAGUAACAAAUGAUGUUCCUUGGAUUUGUUUUUGUAAUUGCAUGCACUCGCUAUGGAAAGCUAAGAAGGGCAUCAAACUCCAACUGGGGGUAAAGACUCAAAAAAAGAUAUCUAUAGUAGGUUUAUAUGCAAGUAUGACAAACAUGUUUGAAAAGAAUGAAGGUUAAGACAGACACACUAGUUGAUAGGCUAGGCCUGAAAUAAUAAUGAACUGAACUAAGAAAAAAGGGAGAUUGACUUCAGAUACCCUUUAAGCUAUGUCAAAAGUUUUUUGUUUUUUUUUUUUAAUUGAAAUUCUAAUACUUACAUAGGAAUAGGAACUUGACAUGGAGGACACGGUAAUGCAGUCUGAAUAAAUGCUGGCUCAGAAGGCUGUUCCCAAGGGCCUGUAGGCUGGUGCUACAAAUAAAAUACAUAAGAAUUUUAAGUCAGAGGGAUUAAAUCAUAUGGCCAUUUUAAGAAUCUAAGAAAAUAGUUCCAUGUAUCCUCUGCUCAAGCAGGUUGAAAUUUUUUCAAAUAAUCAAUAAAUUGUGCUUACUGAAAUAUUUCAUUUUAUCUGUAUUAAAUGAAAUUGUUCCUCUCCACAGACAUUUGAUAUUAAUAACUGAGACAGAAUCCAGUUUAUAAAUGGUAGAACAAAGGCAGUGUAGCCUCCUUUACUUCCAAUAAGGAAAUGAGAAAAACAAUUGGAAACUCC
rnacentral:lncRNA from 10 species